rnacentral:rRNA from 1 species
GCUUGCUCCACCGAAAGAAAAGGAGUGGCGAACGGGUGAGUAACACGUGGGUAACCUGCCCAUCAGAAGGGGAUAACACUUGGAAACAGGUGCUAAUACCGUAUAACAAUCGAAACCGCAUGGUUUCGGUUUGAAAGGCGCUUUUGCGUCACUGAUGGAUGGACCCGCGGUGCAUUAGCUAGUUGGUGAGGUAACGGCUCACCAAGGCAACGAUGCAUAGCCGACCUGAGAGGGUGAUCGGCCACAUUGGGACUGAGACACGGCCCAAACUCCUACGGGAGGCAGCAGUAGGGAAUCUUCGGCAAUGGACGCAAGUCUGACCGAGCAACGCCGCGUGAGUGAAGAAGGUUUUCGGAUCGUAAAACUCUGUUGUUAGAGAAGAACAAGGAUGAGAGUAAAAUGUUCAUCCCUUGACGGUAUCUAACCAGAAAGCCACGGCUAACUACGUGCCAGCAGCCGCGGUAAUACGUAGGUGGCAAGCGUUGUCCGGAUUUAUUGGGCGUAAAGCGAGCGCAGGCGGUUUCUUAAGUCUGAUGUGAAAGCCCCCGGCUCAACCGGGGAGGGUCAUUGGAAACUGGGGAACUUGAGUGCAGAAGAGGAGAGUGGAAUUCCAUGUGUAGCGGUGAAAUGCGUAGAUAUAUGGAGGAACACCAGUGGCGAAGGCGGCUCUCUGGUCUGUAACUGACGCUGAGGCUC